UUCAUUAUAGAGAUGUUCAAAGUUAUUGUUGUCAUUCCAAUCAUAGNUACAUUCAAUUGUAGUAAAUGAUGACGAUAAAUAAACCAUGUAGAGUACGAUUGCUUGGUAGUGCNAUUGGAAUAUAGAUAGAAUNAAAUAUCUAAAGUUAAAUAUAAAUGACAUACCGAUAGAGAAUAAGUACUGCGAAGGAACUUGUGAAAAUGGUAGUAUUAGCUUAUAGUU
rnacentral:rRNA from 1 species